rnacentral:tRNA from 2 species
GAGGACUUAGCUUAAUUAAAGUGAUUGAUUUGCACUCAGUUGAUGUAAGAUAUAGUCUUGCAGUCCUUA